AGAGACAGCAGUAGCCGCGGUAAUACGUAGGGUGCGAGCGUUAAUCGGAAUUACUGGGCGUAAAGCGGGCGCAGACGGUUACUUAAGCAGGAUGUGAAAUCCCCGGGCUCAACCUGGGAACUGCGUUCUGAACUGGGUGACUAGAGUGUGUCAGAGGGAGGUAGAAUUCCACGUGUAGCAGUGAAAUGCGUAGAGAUGUGGAGGAAUACCGAUGGCGAAGGCAGCCUCCUGGGAUAACACUGACGUUCAUGCCCGAAAGCGUGGGUAGCAAACAGGAUUAGAACCCCAGUAGUCCCUGUCUCUUAUACA
rnacentral:rRNA from 1 species